CUCGCGAUAGCUCAGUUGGUAGAGCGGAGGACUGUAGAUCCUUAGGUCGGUGGUUCGAAUCCUUCUCGCGAGA
rnacentral:tRNA from 1 species